AUUGAACGCUGGCGGCAGGCUUAACACAUGCAAGUCGCACGAGUGGCGGACGGGUGAGUAAUGCUUGGGCCUCUAGCUUAUGGAGGGGGAUAACUACGGGUAACUGUAGCUAAUAACGCGUACCAUAGGAUGAGCCCAAGUGGGAUUAGGUAGUUGGUGAGGUAAAGGCUUACCAAGCCGACGAUCUCUAGCUGGUGUGAGAGGAUGACCAGCCACACUGUGAAUGAGACAAGGCCCAGACUCCGACGGGAGGCAGCAGUGGGGAAUAUUGCGCAAUGGGGGCAACCUGACUCAGCCAUGCCGCGUGAAUGAAGAAGGCCUUCGGGUUGUAAAGUUCUUUCGGUAGCGAGGCGUUAACUACAGAAGAAGCACCGGCUAACUCCGUGCCAGCAGCCGCGGUAAUUC
rnacentral:rRNA from 1 species